UUGAACAUCUCUCAGUGGAACUACCUGGGGCCACUUAUCUCAAACAAUGAACAAGUGUUUGCUUCUGAGCCUCUUCCUAGGGACUCUGUGUCCAGGUGCUGUGUCUGGCAAUUCAAUCCAAUCCAUUGAACCCGACAUGUCUGUCAUAGAAGGAGACGCUGUGACACUCAGCUGCUCUUACAGCACCAGCUAUAGCGGUGUCUCUCUACAAUGGUACCGCCAGAGCCCCAACCAAGCCCCGCAGUACAUUCUCCAGAGAGGAGCGAAGGGAAGCACCAUCAGUGACCACGCAGAUUUUGCCCUGACUAGAUUCACUUCUGAGACUAACGCCACUGCUACAGUUCUGAUCAUCAAAGACCUGGAGCUGGCAGACAGAGCUGUGUAUUAUUGUGCCUUGAAUGAAACACAGUGA